GGUCAAGCGAUGAAGCGCAUACGGUGGAUGCCUAGGCAGCCAGAGGCGAUGAAGGACGUUGUAGCCUGCGAAAAGGCUCGGUGAGGUGGCAAACAACCUGCGACCCGGGCAUGUCCGAAUGGGGAAACCCACUCAUCACAAGAUGAGUAUCCCGCACUGAAUUCAUAGGUGCGGGAGGCGAACCGGGGGAACUGAAACAUCUAAGUACCCCGAGGAAAAGAAAUCAACCGAGAUUCCCUCAGUAGCGGCGAGCGAACGGGGACCAGCCCUUAAGUCAAUGCACGGUUAGGUGAACGGCCUGGAAAGGCCGGCCAUAGUGGGUGAUAGCCCCGUAACCGAAAACCCGCAUUGGUGAAAUCGAGUAGGUCGGGGCACGUGAAACCUUGACUGAAGACGGGGGGACCAUCCUCCAAGGCUAAAUACU
rnacentral:rRNA from 2 species